ACGCACGCUGGCGGCAGGCCUCACCCCUGCAAGUCGCGCGGACCUUUCGGGGUCAGCGGCGGACGGGUGAGUAACGCGUGGGAAUAUGCCCUUCUCUACGGAAUAGUCCUGGGAAACUGGGGGUAAUACCGUAUACGCCCUUUGGGGGAAAGAUUUAUCGGGGAAGGAUUAGCCCGCGUUGGAUUAGGUAGUUGGUGGGGUAAUGGCCUACCAAGCCGACGAUCCAUAGCUGGUUUGAGAGGAUGAUCAGCCACACUGGGACUGAGACACGGCCCAGACUCCUACGGGAGGCAGCAGUGGGGAAUCUUAGACAAUGGGGGCAACCCUGAUCUAGCCAUGCCGCGUGAGUGAUGAAGGCCUUAGGGUUGUAAAGCUCUUUCAGCUGGGAAGAUAAUGACGGUACCAGCAGAAGAAGCCCCGGCUAACUCCGUG
rnacentral:rRNA from 1 species